CCUACGGGAGGCAGCAGUAGGGAAUCUUUCACAAUGGGCGAAAGCCUGAUGGAGCAACGCCGCGUGCAGGAUGAAGGCCUUCGGGUUGUAAACUGCUUUUAUAAGCGAGAAAUAUGAUGGUAACUUAUGAAUAAGGAUCGGCUAACUACGUGCCAGCAGCCGCGGUCAUACGUAGGAUCCGAGCAUUAUCCGGAGUGACUGGGUGUAAAGAGUUGCGUAGGUGGCAUAAUAAGUAGCUAGUGAAAUCUGGUGGCUCAACCAUUCAGACUAUUAGCUAAACUGUUAAGCUCGAGACCGUUAGGGGUAACUGGAAUUUCUAGUGUAGGAGUGAAAUCCGUAGAUAUUAGAAGGAACACCAAUAGUGUAGGCAGGUUGCUGGGACGGUUCUGACACUAAGGCACGAAAGCGUAGGGAGCAAACGGGAUUAGAUACCCGAGUAGUC
rnacentral:rRNA from 1 species